UGGGCAUCUUCUCACACCCCAACAGACCCGGCUCUUCCUCCCUGCCUUCUCUCCUUCCUCCUCCUUUCUUUCUCUGUCCUUCACUUACCAUCAAAGGCAGGAUGCUGCUUCCCACCCCUUGCCUCUCUGUGGGCAGAGGGACAUUUGGGAGCCCAGCAGCGAGCUUGUGGCCAUGGGCAGCCCUAGGCUGGAGUCCCAGGGUGCCUGCAGCAGCCACAUGCUCACCGUGGUGGCACAUGUCUGGGCCACCCCAUGCAGCAGCCAGGGGCUGGCUUGCUUCCGUGGCUCUGCUGGACCUUGGCAGCUUCUGUCCCCAGCUGUGUGAGAGAGCUCCAAGUUCUCCAAGGCACAAAGGACCCUUAACUCGGGUGAAUACUCCUGGAAGAGGUGUAUCUCCAAUGGCAGCACCAAAUCCCAGCUCCAGCCCUGUGGUAGCUAGGGGAGGCUCAUCAAAAGGGCUGUGAGGGAGGUUGUUAAUGUUUACAGGGAGCUGAGCGGUGUAUAUUUUAUUUUAGUCUUGGAAAUGGAUGAAUUAUUUUGUACUGCGGUCUCUGGGUGACAGAGCCCACUGCCGUGCCAGCGCUUGGCUGCAGACCGUUCCUGAAGGAUGACGGAGGUGAGACCCUGCCAGAUCGCUGCCCCUUCCUCCUGCCACCCCCUGCUCCUCGCUGUGUGUCCCCGAAGCCACACACGUGUGUGUGCCCAGGAGCCUGGCCAGCGCCUCCGGCGUGGGGUCGGCAGUGAGAGGCACGGAGGUGGUCCCCAGCAGAGCCGGUGUGUGCCAGGACUCACCUUCCCUUCCUCAGGCCCCCGGGGCUGCCAUGGAGACACGGAGUUCAUGCGUUAGUGCAAGAGGAGGGGAUCCUGCCCUUGGCAGGGGGAGAGCACUAAAACCUAAAUAACUGCGUAAAACGAGAGUUAUGCCAAGAAAACAAGCCCAAAGGUUUAACCAUGGAAGUGGAACAAUAACAUUUCAUCAGCGUGAUCUUCCUAACGCUGCCUAGCACUGUUCUCCGUGUCACCCAGCACAAUAAUUUCCCGUUCAGCCUCACUUUCCGAGCAAAGCCAGCGACUGGCAAGCUGCGGCAGGGGCUCUGGGCUCUCCCUGCACCCCAGCCCCCAGAGCAGCCCCGCUUUCUGCUGUGCUGCUCCCAGCACAAGCCCGCUCAGCCACCGGGUGAUCCUCUUGAAUCACUUUUUAACCAGCUCAAGAAGACUCCUAUGGCAACAACCUUGUUUGUGUUUGAGCAGCGAAGGGAAUUUCUAGCGAGGUAGUGAAGGGGGAGGGAAGAGAAGACAUUUGGCCAAGGCUGCUUGCAGAAGUAAAAACCAGAUUUCCUCCACAUCAUGCUUCAGAGCGAGUUUUUGGAGAACCAGAGCUCUAUAAACAUGUAAUUACUGUUUGCUUUCUGUACAGAUAAAUUCUUCUUUCUUUCUUUCUUUUUCUUUCUUUCUUUCUUUCUUUCUUUCUUUCUUUCUUUCUUUCUUUCUUUCUUUCUUUCUUCUUCCUUCCUUCCUUCCUUCCUUCCUUCCUUCCUUCCUUCCUUCCUUCCUUCCUUCCUUCCUUUCUUUCUCUUUCUUUCUUUUUCUUUCUUUCUUUCUUUCUUUCUUUCUUUCUUUCUUUCUUUCUUUCUUUCUUUCUUUCUUUCUUUCUUUCUUUCUUUCUUUUUUCUUUUGCCACAGGGGUAUUGUUUCUGGCUCUGACAGAAGCCAGCCUGCCCAAAGCCCAAAGCCCCCUCCCUCUACCUGCAGGUCCCCCCUCUGCCUUUUCCUUCCCCUGGCCGCAGCAAGCUGCUGCCUGUCCCACGCCGUGCCCUGGCGCUCGAGGUGCAAGCAGCUUUGCUAAUUGUGCACAGCCAAAUCCAGAUUGCUUUUCCAUGCUGACAGAGUUAUUUUUAGGCUCUCCAGGAACUGCAUCCCGGGUUUUCUAACCUAAAUCAAUUCGUGCCUUGUGCAGCCCGACAUGCCCCUGGGCUCCAGGGGUCUAGCAGCAGGGCCAGGAUUGGGCAAGUCCCUUCUCCUCUCCUGCUCUGCCCCUCUUUGUGCCCUCCCCACCAGCUGCUGACCUGCACUCAGGUCGAUACAGCUCUGAAACGAGUUCAGCUGAAGUGGAGAUUUGCACCUAUGCAGAGAGAACGUAGCUGCUGAGGCGUUCUCCUAUUUUAACCAUCACUUGAUACCCACUUGGAUUUGUGAAAAAAUAACCACCCUUCACUGACCUCUGUAGGAAACAAGUCAAACAAAACAAUCUCUUCUGCUGCAAGAAGCACAGUUUGGUCUUAAAUAUGUAUUUUUAUCCCAGGGAUCCAGUUAUAAACCGAGCCAAGGGAAAGGACUGUAAUUUCUGUAAGCUGUUCUGAAAAAAAUGGAAAGCCAGUCACAUGAAAUUUUCUCCUUGCUCUCGGGAAAUUUUCUCCUUUCUUCCUGUUGUGGGCUGGACUUUGCGGAGCAGAAAUUGCAGUCUGCAGGAUUUAGGCCUGAAGAGUUCUGUUUGAAUUCCCCCAUAUUUCAAAAGUAUAAGGAGCUGGUUUUAUCCUGUGCUUUUUAGCUGCCAAUAGUUGGGAUUUUAGCCAUACACCAUUGCUUCCAUAGAAAUCACAGCUAGAAACUUGUUUCAACUCUUUUCUGUGAAGCCUUUCCUGUAAGGCUCGCUGACAUCUAUUUUGUGGAACAUCUCGUGAUGGUCCUGACUCGCAGACAUCAGCCUUGGGCUGCUACUCGUGGCAUCCUUCAGAGUUUUUUGCAGAACUGGAUUCCUGCUGGGUUGGCAACACGUACAGAGAGUUCGUGGCGAAGCAGAGCGAAGGACCUCCGACACGACACCGAGCUGCAUAGCUGAAGUGUCAGCCUUGAAGACAGCCGCAUGCUCCUUUAUUUCCAAGUCAUCUGAGUCAAUGCUAAUAAUUAAUUAGCUAUUCAAUUUUUGUGGUCACAAUAGAAUUUUGGAGUCCUGCAGCACUGAAACUGAGAAAUGCAAAACAUCCUCAACGUCCUCUCUCCCACCCCCCAGGUUUAGCCCAGCUCUCCCUUCUCAUGCUGAAAUACAGUUGCCUUCUCCAUUCACCAGACCAACUACGUGUGGGUGACAUUUAUAAAUAAAAGGUGUCAUUGCUGCGGUCGUGUGGAUUUUGAACAGCACACAACUCUUUACCAAGGUGCAAACUUGCCAAAAUCGGGCAAUACGCUCAUCCAAAGUUCAGAGGAAUGGCCAAGCCCUACCAAAUUGCAACAUUUCUCAAAUCAAAAAGCUCCAGUGUAUCAGCUGGCAGAAAUCCAGUGCCUAAUCUGUCCCAUCACUGAGUGGAGUGAUAGGGACACUGCAGCUGGAAAGAUGCCAUUCUGGGAAGCAAUCGCAUCUUGUCUGCAAAUUAAUUCCUGGAGAUUUUCAACAGUUUUGUCUAAUCAGCUUUUUUUUCUUGUUGUUUUUAAGAAAUCUUGUGACUCCUGCUCCAGUGAUCUGGCCAGCCCCAAGGGUGAGGGGCUGAGAGACUUCAAAUCAGAUCAGACGUGAGAGCUAAGUAAAUUGGGGUGUUCUUGGCAAGGCUCCUCUGCAACACAGAAACAGAUGUAUAGAGAGACACACAGGAACAGCGAUGCCUCGGCUGCUCCUAAUGAGAGCCCCAGCAGGGAGCUGGUUAACCCUGUGCUGGGGCUGGCAGGCUCCAGCCUGACUGGACCAGGACCCAAAAAAGCGGUGUCAGCACACACAGGAGUUAAAAUGACUCUUCCUAACUGUGUGAGCCCAACAGUGCACGGUGCAUGCAGCUUGCACUGGCACAAAAUUCAGGGUAUAUCGAGGAUUCAGUCAUUUUCAACAGUCAUUUUCCCAUGGUGAGGAAUUUGGGGUCUCUCUUGCUGCCCAGACAGCGCCAGCAAACUCUCUCCUGAAAGAAAAAAUAAAAAAAAACAAAAGGCAAAAAUGUCCUAAGACCCUCCUCAGCAGGAAGGUUGCUGCUGCCCUCUGAGUACCGGCUGGAAGUGUUCCCAUGCACCCGAAGUGCCUGCGGUUACAUUAGUCAUGCGGCGAUGAGAAAACAGGCUGCUGGGGAGGCGAGGCUGGGGGAGCCUCUGCGUGCCACUGCUCCCCCCUCUCCUUCAAUAACCACACAGCAAGGGGCAGGAACCAGCGACAAAAAUCCCUGGCAGAUCGGGUCUGAAGAGUCAGUGGGGCAAGUCAGUUGUUGAUGCCCCGCUGUGGAGGGCACAGGAGGAAGACGGGCGCAGGGUGGUUUUGAGUAGAGAAGCAGCACUUUAGCAAGCACAUGGAAAUGCAAACAAAGGGAGGUUUGCUGUGUAACAUUUCCUGCUUUUGAGGCAAUCUUUGCUACCCGAGCAAGUUGUCACUUGUAGGUUUUGUUUCGUUGCUGUUUAACCAAACUCCAGAUUCCCCGCGUCUCAAAUACUCCUCUUUUCUGAGUUUGUCAUCACCAAAAAAUAAAAACUCUUGACUGACAUGAAAGAAGUUUUCUUGCCUUUUUUGGUAGAGCGUCUUACUGCAGUAAUUCUGUCAAGACACAAACAAAGGGCACUUUUUAAUUGCUAAGCAAAAAAGCAGAGCAAAAAAAAAAAGGCAUAAAAUAUGUGAUGGGGUAACUUGUGCACUAAGGAUAGCAUCUCUGAGCAUGGUGUCGUGAUCUUGUACUAACACUCUGCAGCUACUGGGGGAGUGAGUUUUGAAAUGCUCAUAUCCACUUAGAAAACUGAACAAUGAAGAGAAAAAAAAAAAAAAGUAUAUUCCACAGUGGUAACUUAGAGGACUUGUGCAUCUCAUGUACCUGUGCCACCUCUGGGCACAGCUCCCGUGCUGGAUGAAGCCUCAGGCAGUGCCCCAGGCAUCACUGCUGGGGGCACCCUGGGAGCAGCAGCACGAGGCUCCAUCCAACAGCCCUUCAGGAGUGCCAAAACUUGAAAGAUUUUGGUUUCUUGGAGUUCCUAAGAGGCGACUCAUUCCAUAUAAAGCCAACACCAUGAAAGCCGAGUGGCAUUAAAAACACAGCGUUCCCCAGAGGCAUCAGGCUGCCUGGGAAAGCGUUGGCCACCUGUAGUAACAAAACCAGCCCACUGCUCUGCUGCUCCUCGGGAAAUGUCCACAUGGCUAGAGACACCCUACAGUCAGGGGACUUUCUGUGCCUCUGCGUCCGGGAGAAGAAGGGAAGGGCUGAGCACGGACACAAUGGAGCACGGCAGUGGCCAAGGCAAGUCACGAGCCGCAGCAACGAUGAGCAGAUGGCCAGAGUGCAGCAGCAUUAAAAAAUAUACUGUUCACUGCUGCUUCCAAGUCCAUUUGGAAUCACCAGCUCUGGGAACAUCAGGUUUCCACCAUCACAGUGCAUCUGUCUCUCCGUUUGCUUCGGUGACAAUGACUGCAGCUAUCUGUGUGGUACAUGCACAGGAUCAGAAGUGCCAUCUGGUUCUUCUUCAACAAGCGACUCAUCAGCACAUUUUUCUAAUGGUCUUUGUGCAACAGCAGUUAUGAAGGAAGAUGUGAGCAGAUACAAGUCACAGCUGGAAAACGAGGGGAAUGAUUUACACAUGAAUUUAUUUACACUCUCCGUGUGUGGAACCACGGCCUGCUCUGGAGCCUGGGGGACUUCUGUGGCCGGGCAGUGGAGAUCUCCAGUGGAAGAAGGCUCAGAGAAGAUAGGCCAGGAUGAUGUGCUCAUGAAGCUCAUAAAUACAUGUAGGAAGUAACCGCAGCUGUUACAAAGGAAGCUGAACUUAUCUCAGCAUGAAGGGGACCGGAGGGUGGCCUUUGUUUUAGAUAAAUAGCUGUAUCAGUUGAGUGGGUCAACUAGUUAUGUAAAUGUCUUCCCUAAAACAAUCAAUAGGGAGUGUUAUCUUCCUGAGCCAGCCACAUCAGCAUGGGGGAAGUGCAUCUGUGGCUCAGCCCAACACAGAGUCUAAAAAUUAAGCAACCAAAUGAACCAUGAAGAGAUCAGCGGGCUUGAGCUGGGUUCAACCACUGGUGGAAAUCACCUUUGUAUCACAAUCUCGCUGUACCUUGCAAUUGUUGUGUUGUGUGCACUGUGAUUUCAGCAUAUUGCUGUGUCACUCUGGUACAUCAAACUCUCAUGCAAUGUCAAAUACUCCAAAAUAAGUAAAUUUGAUAUUAAAUAUUAAACCCUUCUCAUCUGGACUAUCCAAAAGA